GAGAUUUCUGUGUAUCUAAGGCCUUCUGAAGCUGUACCUGGCACCUGAUUGUGUAGGUGGUGGAGAGCAGGAGGAGAAAUGUGUCCUUGUGGAGAUCUCAACCAGACACAGAGAUGGAAGAAAAACUUCUGCCUUACAAAUCGAAGCACUUGUUUCAUCCCUUCUUCAAGGCUUCAUUACAUUUCCUCAGGCCAGAGAACGUUUAUUUUUAAAGCAAAAUCUCUGGACUGAAGGCUACGAGUAAGCGAGAGGGCUGCCCAGAAGAGAAGGCAAAUAGAGGAUGAGCAACUCAGAAGAUGAUGUUUGCCAGCGGCCUGCAACGCUACUCUGCAGCUUCUUGCCUUUUUCAAUAGUCAGAAGUGGAUAGAUAAAUAAAUAAAAGCACAUUUUAAAAUUGGAAAUAAAUAAAUCCAGAACAAACAGCAGCAGUUAAAAAAACAUAAUGCUGGCUACACCCAGCAUCACUCAGUCUCAGCUGCGUUCCUGUGUGCUUCUAUCCAGUACCAGCCAGCACUUCAGCAAUAAUCCAGUCAAAGCUGCUAGUAUGUGCAAAAAUCUGGCCCAAUUAAUCUAAAUAUAGACUCUAGUGGGACAUUACUGAAAAUAAGGGUUUAUCAUUUUAAUCAGUACCCUUUGGUGUAAUUCAAUGCUAUGUGACAUUCCUGUGACUGGCUGGCUGUUCCCUGAGCAAUUCCCUUCAACACUUCCAUGGGUCAGUAUCCAGGACUGAUGUUUCCUCCUCCUUUUUCCUCAGAGAGCCAGGACAUCCAGAGCAGCUCAGUUCUAACAGCAUGCAAUGAAAUGGCCCCAUAAAGGCCAAAUGAAGGCUGGAGGGCAGAACUUCAGUAUUUCAACCACCUCACUGCAGACUCCUAUUUGCAGCGCCGAUUUCCUGUUUGCUCUACAAGCUUCCAUAGGAUUUUGUGGCUAAAGCUUUCUAGCUUUCUGCUCCUCUCUUCAGUAGAUCAACUGAAUAGAAGUGUAUCUGAUC